rnacentral:misc_RNA from 1 species
GAUGAAGAACGUAGUGAAUUGCGAUAAGUAAUGUGAAUUGCAGAUUUUCAGUGAAUCAUCGAGUCUUUGAACGCACAUUGCGCCCCCUGGUAUUCCGGGGGGCAUGCCUGUCCGAGCGUCAUUGCUGCCCUCAAGCACGGCUUGUGUGUUGGGCCUCCGUCCUCCUCCCGGGGGACGGGCCCGAAAGGCAGCGGCGGCACCGCGUCCGGUCCUCGAGCGUAUGGGGCUUCGUCACCCGCUCUUGUAGGCCCGGCCGGCGCUUGCCGACACAUCAAUCUUUUUUCCAGGUUGACCUCGGAUCAGGUAGGGAUACCCGCUGAACUUAAGCAUAUCAAUAAGCGGAGGA